GGGUCAGUGCCCGAGCGGCCAAUGGGAUCUGGCUGUAAACCAGACGCGUAAGCUACGGGGGUUCAAAUCCCUCCUGGCCCACCA
rnacentral:tRNA from 2 species